ACACCCCAAAACAGGAAGAGAGUAACCACUACUGCAUAAAUAAAACUACUGCAUAAAUAAAACCUACACCAGCUCCCAUACUGGUUCUAUUAUUCUGCUGCACUGCUGCAAAGACCCUAACCAGCAUUUCAACCACCAGAAACCCAACGUAAUCCUUCCACCUGCUUGACAACCACUUGCAGCACAACCUCCACAUCCAGAGCUUAAUAACUGGU
rnacentral:lncRNA from 1 species